AAGGAUUUAAGUUAAAUAAACUAGUAACCUUCAAAGUUAAAAAUAGAUUUUGUCUAAGCCUUA
rnacentral:tRNA from 1 species